GGAGUUAGCCGGUGCUUCUUCUGCGAGUAACGUCACAGAUGUAAGGUAUUAACUUACACCCUUUCCUCCUCGCUGAAAGUGCUUUACAACCCGAAGGCCUUCUUCACACACGCGGCAUGGCUGCAUCAGGGUUUCCCUCAUUGUGCAAUAUUCCCCACUGCUGCCUCCCGUAGGAGUCUGGGCCGUGUCUCAGUCCCAGUGUGGCUGAUCAUCCUCUCAGACCAGCUAGGGAUCGUCGCCUAGGUGAGCCUUUACCUCACCUACUAGCUAAUCCCACCUGGGCUUAUCCAUCAGCGCAAGGCCCGAAGGUCCCCUGCUUUCCCCCGUAGGGCGUAUGCGGUAUUAGCAGUCGUUUCCAACUGUUAUCCCCCACAAAUGGGCAAAUUCCCAGGCAUUACUCACCCGUCCGCCGCUCGUCAUCUUCAAAAGCAAGCUUUUGAAAUGUUACCGCUCGACUUGCAUGUGUUAGGCCUGCCGCCAGCGUUCAAUCUGAGCCAUAAUCAAACUCUGA
rnacentral:rRNA from 1 species